rnacentral:rRNA from 1 species
AUUGAACGCUGGCGGCACGCUUAACACAUGCAAGUCGAACGGCAGCACGGGUGCUUGCACCUGGUGGCGAGUGGCGGACGGGUGAGUAAUGCUUAGGGAUCUAGCGCAAAGAGGGGGACAACACGGGGAAACCCGUGCUAAUACCGCAUAUGCUCUUAGGAGUAAAGGUGGCCUCUAUAUAUAAGCUAUCGCUUUGCGAUGAACCUAAGUCGGAUUAGCUAGUUGGCGGGGUAAAGGCCCACCAAGGCGACGAUCCGUAGCUGGUCUGAGAGGACGGCCAGCCACACUGGGACUGAGACACGGCCCAGACUCCUACGGGAGGCAGCAGUGGGGAAUAUUGGACAAUGGGGGCAACCCUGAUCCAGCGAUGCCGCGUGUGUGAAGAAGGCCUGCGGGUUGUAAAGCACUUUAGUUGGGGAGGAGAUUGGUGAUGUGAAUAAUGUUGCCAUGAGACGUUACCCAAAGAAUAAGCACCGGCUAACUCUGUGCCAGCAGCCGCGGUAAUACAGAGGGUGCGAGCGUUAAUCGGAAUUACUGGGCGUAAAGGGCGCGUAGGCGGUGGCUUAAGUCGGUUGUGAAAUCCCAGGGCUUAACCUUGGAACUGCAAUUGAUACUGGGCGACUAGAGUCGAAGAGAGGGGGGCGGAAUUUCCGGUGUAGCGGUGAAAUGCGUAGAUAUCGGAAGGAACACCCGUGGCGAAGGCGGCCCUCUGGCUUCAGACUGACGCUGAGGCGCGAAAGCGUGGGUAGCGAACAGGAUUAGAUACCCUGGUAGUCCACGCUGUAAACGAUGAGUACUAGCUGUUGGGAAGUUACGACUUUUCAGUAGCGCAGCAAACGCAAUAAGUACUCCGCCUGGGGACUACGGCCGCAAGGCUAAAACUCAAAGAAAUUGACGGGGGCCCGCACAAGCGGUGGAGCAUGUGGUUUAAUUCGAUGCAACGCGAAAAACCUUACCUACCCUUGACAUCCUUGGAAUUUUGCAGAGAUGCGAAAGUGCCUUCGGGAACCGAGAGACAGGUGCUGCAUGGCUGUCGUCAGCUCGUGUCGUGAGAUGUUGGGUUAAGUCCCGUAACGAGCGCAACCCUUGUGCCUAGUUGCCAUCAUUAAGUUGGGGACUCUAGGCAGACUGCCGGUGACAAACCGGAGGAAGGUGGGGAUGACGUCAAGUCCUCAUGGCCCUUAUGGGUAGGGCUACACACGUGCUACAAUGGGCAGAACAAAGGGAAGCGAGGCCGAGAGGCGGAGCGGAUCUCAAAAAACUGUUCGUAGUCCGGAUUGGGGCCUGCAACUCGGCCCCAUGAAGUCGGAAUCGCUAGUAAUCGCGGAUCAGCAUGCCGCGGUGAAUACGUUCCCGGGCCUUGUACACACCGCCCGUCACACCAUGGAAGUGGGCUGUACCAGAAGUGGCUAGUCUAACCCUCGGGGGGACGGCCCCCACGGUAUGGUUCAUGACUGGGGUGAAGUCGUAACAAGGUAAC